UAGAGUUUGAUCAUGGCUCAGGAUGAACGCUGGCGGCAUGCCUAAUACAUGCAAGUCGAUUCGAAAUCGAAUCUUCGGAUUCAAUGAUUUAGUGGCGAACGGGUGAGUAACACGUAAGAAACCUCCCCUUAGGACGAGGAUAACUAUUGGAAACGAUAGCUAAUACUGGAUAGGAUAUUAGAUCACAUGAUCUUAUAUUUAAAGAAGCUUUCAAGCUUCACCUUUGGAUGGUCUUGCGCUGUAUUAGCUAGUUGGUGAGGUAACGGCUCACCAAGGCGACGAUACAUAGCUGGUCUGAGAGGACGAACAGCCACACUGGGACUGAGACACGGCCCAGACUCCUACGGGAGGCAGCAGUAGGGAAUUUUCGGCAAUGGGCGCAAGCCUGACGGGAACAAUGCCGCGUGAACGAUGAAGGCCUUCGGGUCGUAAAG
rnacentral:rRNA from 1 species